rnacentral:rRNA from 1 species
UACGUAGGGCGCGAGCGUUGUCCGGAAUUAUUGGGCGUAAAGAGCUCGUAGGCGGCUUGUCACGUCGGGUGUGAAAGACCGGGGCUUAACUCCGGUUCUGCAUUCGAUACGGGCUAGCUAGAGUGUGGUAGGGGAGAUCGGAAUUCCUGGUGUAGCGGUGAAAUGCGCAGAUAUCUGGAGGAACACCGGUGGCGAAGGCGGCAUCCUGGACCAAUACUGACGCUGAGGAGCGAAAGCUAGGGGAGCAAACGGG